AACGCAUAUUGCACUCGAGCCACGGCAAGAGUAUGUCUGUCUCAGCGUCAGCACACCCCAUCGCUCUUUCUCUUAACUGACUGAGAGCGGAAGUGGCCGUCUCGGUUUUCUUUCCAAGAAACCCGGGUCGGCUGAAGCACAGGGCCCCUCGCGGCCGGGCGCUCAGGUCUCCGAUCGGUGAUCGGAGGGCGCCAGCUUGGUAGGUGGCUCUCCGCAGCCGCAUGCCGCUGUCGCCCCUUUCGUUUCGCCGGUCAGGAGGACCUGGUGACCCAGCGCGCGUCGGCCAUAAUCACCCAAGGAUUUUUACACCAAAAAUCCAUAACAGUACCUUGACCUGAGAUCAGACAAGACCACCCGCUGAACUUAA
rnacentral:misc_RNA from 1 species